rnacentral:rRNA from 1 species
UAUGAAGGGGGCUAGCGUUGUUCGGAUUUACUGGGCGUAAAGCGCACGUAGGCGGAUCGUUAAGUCGGGGGUGAAAUCCUGGAGCUCAACUCCAGAACUGCCUUCGAUACUGGCGAUCUUGAGUCCGGAAGAGGUGAGUGGAACUCCUAGUGUAGAGGUGGAAUUCGUAGAUAUUAGGAAGAACACCAGUGGCGAAGGCGGCUCACUGGUCCGGUACUGACACUGAGGAGCGAAAGCAUGGGGAGCGAACAGGG